rnacentral:rRNA from 1 species
GAUGAACGCUAGCGGCAGGCUUAAUACAUGCAAGUCGAGGGGCAGCAUGAUUGUAGCAAUACAAUUGAUGGCGACCGGCAAACGGGUGCGGAACACGUACACAACCUCCCAAUAAGUGGGGAAUAGCCCAGAGAAAUUUGGAUUAAUACCCCGUAACAUAACGAUGUGGCAUCACAUUGUUAUUAUAGAUUUUUCGCUUACUGAUGGGUGUGCGGUUGAUUAGAUAGUUGGCGGGGUAACGGCCCACCAAGUCUACGAUCAGUAGCUGAUGUGAGAGCAUGAUCAGCCACACGGGCACUGAGACACGGGCCCGACUCCUACGGGAGGCAGCAGUAAGGAAUAUUGGACAAUGGACGCAAGUCUGAUCCAGCCAUGCCGCGUGAAGGAUUAAGGUCCUCUGGAUUGUAAACUUCUUUUAUAAGGGACGAAAAAAGGCUUUUCUAAGUCGUCUGACGGUACCUUAUGAAUAAGCACCGGCUAACUCCGUGCCAGCCGCCGCCGUAAAAC